rnacentral:rRNA from 1 species
UACGUAGGGGGCUAGCGUUGUCCGGAUUUAUUGGGCGUAAAGAGCGUGUAGGCGGCCAGGUAGGUCUGGUGUGAAAACUCGAGGCUUAACCUUGAGAUGUCAUCGGAAACCAUUUGGCUAGAGUCCGGAAGAGGAAAGUGGAAUUCCUGGUGUAGCGGUGAAAUGCGCAGAUAUCAGGAAGAACACCAAUGGCGAAAGCAGCUUUCUGGGACGGUACCGACGCUGAGACGCGAAAGCGUGGGGAGCGAACAGG